AGAAUUUUUCACUAAUGUUACCUUGGCUAUUUCGUUCAUAAAUUAGACAUGUAUUUUGAAGUCUAAUUUACUUAAGAAAGUGCACCAACGAGAAGGUUCAUGCCUUGGUUUCGGUUUCAAUCCAACCUUUGCUAGAUGAUUAGAUAGCUGUUUUCAAGGUUCCCUGGAAAAGUUGCCGACUGAAAUUAUGGAUUUACUUCACAAGAAUGCUCAUCUUUUGCCA